UCAAACUCUUCCGUGAAGCAGUCCAAGAUUACAACUUUAUUUCUUGUUGAGCCGAAAUUAAUACGGGUUAGAAAAGAGUGAAAAAAAAAAUGUCGAAAAUUCAUGUGGAAAACAAAGCAGCCUCCUUCAAUUGUACCUUUAAGAGCAUUUCCAUCCGUUUGUUUUGGGCAAGAGUAAUUGCCCAGAACAACUUCAACGGGCCAAAAUAAGGAGAGCAAGUGGUGGCACGGCCAUGCUCACUCAAAUGCCCGUGUAAUUUUAGUCUUGUCUUGCGUCAUCAGGCAAGGUUGACGUUUGCCAAUGAAGCUUGCAUUGCAACAGUGGGUUCUAUUGCAACAGCUCCAACAGAAGAACCCAACAGCUCGAUGACGCGGUGCAUGAGAGCAUUGGAUUUUCAACAGCCUGAUCUUGACCGUUGGAUAAGGAGUUACUAAUAUUUUAGAUAUACCAUAUAAGAAAUGCCUCACGAAUCACGAGUCACGAGUCAUGCCAAAGUUAGGCUCUGAAAUUUUUAGAGGCGAGACAAAUUUAAGCUUGGUUGCAUUUGUGAGGUCAUCUGCUUCUGACCAGCUAAAAUUCCAAUUCUGCAACUUGUGGUUGAAUGUUAACAUGUUUUUGCAGAGAGAAACAUAAAUGGAGCUCUUUUCUCAAUAGGAGUUCAGAAAAAGUUUGAGUCUUGAAGCUCGACCAUCUGAGGAUUUGCAGUGUCACAGAGGAGUGGUAGAGCAAUGGAUGGCACCACACUUGAGAGAUUGAAAGAGGUUGCUGAUACAGCAAAAAAUUCAGCUCCUCCGGUUCAAUGCCUACCUCCUAACCACUUCAUCUGUCCAAUUCUUAAGGAUGUGAUGGAUGAGCCAUGUGUGGCCGCAGAUGGUUACACUUAUGACCGCAAAGCGAUCGAGAAAUGGCUCGAAGAGAACGAUAACUCACCGAUGACAAAUUUGCCAUUGCCAAACAAGGAUGUUAUACUAAACUAUACUCUUCUUUCUGCAAUUAUGGAGUGGAAGACCAGAAAACAAUAGCAUGUUCCUUUGUUAAUUGUUACUUUUUAGGGUAACACUGGUGGGUUAGUUUAUUGCGAGGCUGGCAUUAGGUAGCGUUCAGGGUUGAAUAUUUUGUAAGUUGUUGAAUUCGUCCAUGGUUUCAAAUUUCAAUGGAGUUUCUGUUUUAUCCAAUAAAAAAAGAAAUAUUGAGAUUCAAGAACCAAAUGCCAAAAAGUAUUUUAUUGGAGGA